CGUCUGCGAAUUGCACGAGAUGCUGGAGAGGGCCGGGAUCCCGGCGUUCGCCGCCGUGCCGUGGCUCUCCACGAACAUGGGGUCCAGGCAAGCGACUUUGGCAGCGAAGAAAGCGUGAAUGCAGUGGAGCACCGCGAACAGAUUUGGACUCCAUAUUUUGAAACAAGAACUUGAUCUUGCUUUUCCCGUCGUCCGACGAUCCCUUCAGCUGCGAGAACUUGUAUCUCCACAGCACCGCCUGAAAGAAAAGAUCACGCGAGGCCGACUUUUACCAAGGUACAUGGUAUCGUCACUCGCAAAUGCCGCUUCAGCGAUUCGAUUAGCGUUGAACCGAAUAAACAAAGGCUGCGGA